GACGAACGCUGGCGGCGUGCUUAACACAUGCAAGUCGAGCGGAAAGGCCCUUCGGGGUACUCGAGCGGCGAACGGGUGAGUAACACGUGAGUAACCUGCCCUUCACUUUGGGAUAACCCUCGGAAACGGGGGCUAAUACCGGAUAUGACCUGUGCCGGCAUCGGUGUGGGUGGAAAGUUUUUCGGUGGGGGAUGGGCUCGCGGCCUAUCAGCUUGUUGGUGGGGUAAUGGCCUACCAAGGCGACGACGGGUAGCCGGCCUGAGAGGGCGACCGGCCACACUGGGACUGAGACACGGCCCAGACUCCUACGGGAGGCAGCAGUGGGGAAUAUUGCACAAUGGGCGGAAGCCUGAUGCAGCGACGCCGCGUGAGGGAUGACGGCCUUCGGGUUGUAAACCUCUUUCAGCAGGGACGAAGCGUAAGUGACGG
rnacentral:rRNA from 1 species